rnacentral:tRNA from 1 species
GGGCGGAUAGCUCAGUUGGUAGAGCGCCAGAUUUAAGAUCUGGAGGUCGCGGCUUCGAGCCCCGCUCUAUCCA